rnacentral:rRNA from 2 species
CUACUCUUGACAUCCAGAGAACUUUCCAGAGAUGGAGAGGUGCCUUCGGGAGCUCUGAGACAGGUGCUGCAUGGCUGUCGUCAGCUCGUGUUGUGAAAUGUUGGGUUAAGUCCCGCAACGAGCGCAACCCUUAUCCCCUGUUGCCAGCGGUUCGGCCGGGAACUCAGAGGAGACUGCCGGUUAUAAACCGGAGGAAGGUGGGGACGACGUCAAGUCAUCAUGGCCCUUACGACCAGGGCUACACACGUGCUACAAUGGUUUAUACAAAGAGAAGCAAAUCUGCAAAGACAAGCAAACCUCAUAAAGUAAAUCGUAGUCCGGACUGGAGUCUGCAACUCGACUCCACGAAGUCGGAAUCGCUAGUAAUCGUGGAUCAGAAUGCCACGGUGAAUACGUUCCC